CGACUCUCGGCAAUGGAUAUCUCGGCUCACGCAUCGAUGAAGAACGUAGCAAAAUGCGAUACUUGGUGUGAAUUGCAGAAUCCCGUGAACCAUCGAGUUUUUGAACGCAAGUUGCGCCCGAAGCCAUUCGGUUGAGGGCACGUCUGCCUGGGCGUCACG
rnacentral:rRNA from 1 species